ensembl:lncRNA
UCGCCCCCUCACCACCACGGCCGACUGAUCUUGCGGAGUGGAUCUUCCCCCACCCCACCCGCGUUUCGCUCGGGCUCCCUACGCUCUGCAAAGGGAGCAGGGAGCUGGAGGCGCCUUGCACACCAGUCUUCCCGGAGCUGCAGACAAGGAGCCCCGCGCCCUCGGGAGCCUCUCGGCGGCUUUCCCUCUGCCGCGCGGCUGUGCAGCCUCUCACCGCCGCCCCCACCCGCAGCUCGCCCUCGCUCCCCACCUCCAGCCCCGCCAGCCGGAGCGCGCACACCGGGGCUCCCGCACGUGGGCGCGCGGGAGGUGGCGGCAGCUGCUGCCGCUGCCGGAGCCCGAGCCCGAGCCCGAGCCGGAGCCAGAGUCCGAGCGGGAGAGAUCGCCCUCCAUGCUGCGGGCGCUGCGGCCGCUUUCCGCUCAGCCUCGGGUCCCAGGCGAGCCUUGCGAGCCGGCGGAGCAGCGGAGGGGAGGAGGACUAGGACGAGAAGAGGGGCUCGGCGGGCUGGAGCGAGCUGGGCUGUGAGCACUGGGGACCCGCAGCCUGGAGGAAGCAGCCCCGCUCUAUCGCGCGCUCUCCGCUCCAGCCGCUACUGGGGGCUCCAGGCAGCGCGAUGCCGUUGCGCUUCUUCUAGGCGGCGGCCGGCGGAGGCAUUCCGCAGCCGCUUGGCCCGCACCGGCCCCUGUUCCGCUGGCAAAUCCCUUGUCUAUCCGGAAGGACGCACCCUGCCGCCCAAGCCGGAGCGAGCGCGAAGUCCGAAGUCCGCCCCCAGCGCCUUCAACUUCCCUGUGAGCCCCUCUCCCCGCCGCAGCCUGCGCCAGACCUGGGAGCGAUGCGCCCCCAGCCGGGCGGCGCGCCCUCUGCCAACUCGCCACACAUGGGAUCGACUGCUCUCAGCUGCCCGGCUUGGAGUGCGUAGCCUUUGCCGCGUGGCCAGGAGAGGAGCAAGACACCGAGGCGUUUCGCGGUCUCCGCGAGCACCGGUCGGCUUGGUGGCUGCGGGAUAG